rnacentral:lncRNA from 1 species
AAGAAAUACAGCUGUUUCACAAACCACGCCUCUUUUGGGGAGAUAUAUACUAUUGAUAGAUAUUUUGUUUUGUUUAUUUACUAGUUCUUAUAUAUGAACUAUAUAUUUCAUCUCAAAGAGAUACACCUUGGGAACUUAACCAGUAUAAUUACACAUGAAUAGCGGCCAAACUAAAUUCUGAGUAGGAAGGGAGAGGGAGUACAUACAUUUAGUAUUUGUAUAAACUCUUAGAAAUAUGAGGUAUAUAGAUGUUGAAAAUAUGCUGCACAGCCUUAUGUUUUGACCUUUGAAAAAAUAGUAGUACAAGUUAACUUUCCAUUCUGGGAUAUACAUUCUUACGAAACUGCAUAGUAAACGUGGUACAAUUUAUGAUGUAAAAGAAGGCAAUAUAAGAAAUUGCACUGUCUAUAUUUACAGAAGCGCAACCUUUGUUAAUAUAGGCAACAGUAGUAUACCGCUGUUCGAAAUUACUAAAUCGAUCGAGAACAAAACAAAUCAGGGCUAAAACCUAGAACUGAGGGAAACGAAUCAAAUAUAAGAGGAGAACAUAAACGGGGAAUUACAAAUAUAGGUGGAUACUUGCCUAGACAUUACAGGAAGAAUGAAAUAAUAAUAGCCAUCAAAUAGCAAACAAUUUCAAUGUAGCAGUUUAUCAGUUGACCUCUGUCCGACAUCUAACUGGUUAUAUAUAACUAUGCAAAUGAAGAUUACUUUAAAGUUAAUUGAUAUCUGAACGCAGGUGAUUGACACACUAGCAUAACAAAUUAUAAACUUAUUAUAUUUUACAAGUUUUUAUAAUCAAUAGGUUGAUGCCACUGCUGGCAGAUGUUAAGUUUUCAGGGUAUCACCAGCUCACAAAAUAUC